UACGAAGGGGGCUAGCGUUGCUCGGAAUCACUGGGCGUAAAGGGUGCGUAGGCGGGUCUUUAAGUCAGGGUGAAAUCCUGGAGCUCAACUCCAGAACUGCCUUUGAUACUGAAGAUCUUGAGUUCGGGAGAGGUGAGUGAACUGCGAGUGUAGAGGUGAAAUUCGUAGAUAUUCGCAAGAACACCAGUGGCGAAGGCGACUCACUGGCCGAUACUGACGCUGAGGCACGAAAGCGUGGGGAGCAAACAGG
rnacentral:rRNA from 1 species